rnacentral:sRNA from 1 species
GCCAGGUGUGGUGGUGCACGUCUGUAAUCCCAGCAGCUCCGGAGGCCCAGGCAGGAGGAUCUUGACUUCAAAGUCAGCCUCGGCAAACUCGAGGUGCUAAGCAACUCAGUGAGACCCUGUCUCUA